rnacentral:rRNA from 1 species
AUUGAACGCUGGCGGCGUGCCUAAUACAUGCAAGUAGAACGCAGUUGCGAACGGGUGAGUAACGCGUAUGUAACUGCCUGGUAGUGGGGGAUAACUAUUGGUAACGAUAGCUAAUACCGCCUACUAACAGAUGCACAUGCGUUGUAGUAGCUAGUUGGUGGGGUAACGGCCCACCAAGGCAACGAUACAUAGCCGACCUGAGAGGAUGAUCGGCCACACUGGGACUGAGACACGGCCCAGACUCCUACGGGAGGCAGCAGUAGGGAAUAUUCGACAAUGGGCGGAAGUCUGACCGAGCAAUGCCGCGUGAGUGAAGAAGGUUUUCGGAUCGUAAAGCACUGUUAUUAGGGAGGCGUUAUCUAACCAAGAAGCCACGGCUAACUACGUGCCAGCAGCCGCGGUAAUAC